ACUUAGUGGCGGACGGGUGAGUAACGCGUGGAUAACCUGCCUUAUACAGGGGGAUAACGGAGAGAAAUUUCCGCUAAGACCGCAUAAGACCACAGCACCGCAUGGUGCAGGGGUAAAAUAUUUAUAGGUAUAAGAUGGAUCCGCGUCCGAUUAGCUAGUUGGUGAGGUAAAGGCCCACCAAGGCGACGAUCGGUAGCCGGCCUGAGAGGGCGAACGGCCACAUUGGGACUGAGACACGGCCCAA
rnacentral:rRNA from 1 species